UGGUACAGUUUCACUGUACCCGGACAGUUCUUCGCGUGCUUGCGGAACGGUCACAGGACUGCCGUCAUAAUGGGACGGCAAUUACUUAAAUUGCAUAAAUGAAUAUUAUCACGCCGAGUCUGCAAUUAACCCAAAUUUGUUCAUCAGGUGAUCCAAGGAGUUUGCAGAAAGAAAGAGAAAACACGAUCGUGGAAUUGUUGAACAAAAGACGGUAAAAAGGAUUGAAAAAUGUCAAACUUGUUUUAUUACACAUUUAAUAUCGAUUAUGAUUAAUAACGACACAUGCGGGUAAAUAGUAAUACAGACACAGGAAAUAAAGAAAUAAAAUCA